UACGAAGGGGGCUAGCGUUGCUCGGAAUCACUGGGCGUAAAGGGUGCGUAGGCGGGUCUUUAAGUCAGGGGUGAAAUCCUGGAGCUCAACUCCAGAACUGCCUUUGAUACUGAAGAUCUUGAGUUCGGGAGAGGUGAGUGGAACUGCGAGUGUAGCGGUGAAAUGCGUAGAUAUCGGGAGGAACACCAGUGGCGAAGGCGGCUACCUGGCACAUAACUGACGCUGAUACGCGAAAGCGUGGGGAGCGAACCGG
rnacentral:rRNA from 1 species